GGGGUGAAGCUUGCGGUUUAAUUGGAGUCAACGCCGGGAACCUUACCGGGGGCGACAGCAGUAUGAUUGCCAGAUUGAUGGUCUUGCUUGACGAGCUGAGAGGAGGUGCAUGGCCGUCGCCAGUUCGUGCCGUGAGGUGUCCUGUUAAGUCAGGCAACGAUCGAGACCCGCGUCCCUUGUUGCCUCUGAGGAGAGUCUCCGAUGGGCAAGACUAGGGAGACCGCCGCCGACAAGGCGGAGGAAGGAGCGGGCCACGGCAGGUCAGUAUGCCCCGAAUCCCCCGGGCCACACGCGAGCUGCAAUGGCAGGGACAGUGGGUUCCAACUCCGAAAGGAGGAGGUAAUCUCGAAACCCUGUCGUAGUUGGGAUCGAGGGCUGAAACUCGCCCUCGUGAAUCAUGGAAUCCCUAGUAAUCGCGCGUCAUCAUCGCGCGGUGAAUACGUCCCCGCUCCUUGCACACACCGCCCGUCGUUCCACCCAAGUGGGGUUUGGAUGAGGCGUGGUCUUCUUGGCUGCGUCGAAUCUAGGCUUCGUGAGGGGGGAAAAGUCGUAACAAGGUGGCCGUAGGGGAACCUGCGGCCGGAUCACCUCCU
rnacentral:rRNA from 1 species